UACGGAGGGUGCAAGCGUUAUCCGGAAUUACUGGGUUUAAAGGGUGCGUAGGCGGCUUGAUAAGUCAGAGGUGAAAGCCUAUCGCUUAACGAUAGAAUUGCCUUUGAUACUGUAAAGCUUGAAAGGGGUUGAGGUCAGCAGAAUGUGGCAUGUAGCGGUGAAAUGCAUAGAUAUGCCAGAGAACACCGAUUGCGAAGGCAGCUGGCUGGGCCUACGUUGACGCUGAGGCACGAAAGCGUGGGGAGCGAACAGG
rnacentral:rRNA from 1 species